GAUAAAGGUAGAGGGAGUUAAAAUUAGGAACAAAUAUUAAUAAUAAGUGUAUUAUUCAUCAUCGAGGGCUUAUUCUGUGCCCUGCUCUGUGCUAAGUGCUUUGCAGGUAGUUCUCAUGUAAUCUUUACCAUAACCUUGUAGAGCACAGAAACUCAGGCGGAGCUUUCGCAGCCAGUGAGCAGAGGAGCUAGUGCUUGUGCUGAGCUUCUAGCUGUGGGAUAAAUCUGGAGGGUACAGUGAGGCUGGCCACUGGAGGAUCACGUGGGCUCCCAAGUGCCCAUGAUCCAUCAUUUAGCAUUCAGUUGUGAAUAAGACAGGGGUAUGGAGGUCAAACAUAUAGGAAAGGUAAGAGCUGAGUUCAUGUUCCAGAGGGCGAAAGUCAGGACGCAGAGGUGGGUGGGACUGUUUCUGUUUGGCAUCUCUUGAGUCAGAAAAGAAGCAAGCACAUCAGAACGGCAGCAAGAGGGAUCGAGAAUGCUGGAAGCCAAGCUUGCACAUUCUAGGCAGCCAUUUGGAAGAUUCUUCUCUGCGCAUGACCAGCUGAAAAGGAAAAACCCCGAAACAUUGGCACUGUGAUUUCUCCAUGUGAACAGUUUAGUUCGCCGAGGUGGACAUGCCUCAUUCAUGCUUAUGGAGUGACCGACCAGCCUUUAGUGACACCCCCUGAAAUGUGAGUCAUCCAUGGGUCACUAGUCAUUGGAGAAGAGCCCCUUAUACAAAACUUGGAGCUCAGACCACAAACAACAACAACAAUCCAAAAAAUAAAAAAAUGAAAAAUUAGGAGCAGAGACUAAAUGGAAAGAUGGAAAUAUUAAAAUAAAAAUAUUAUUUUAAAAAUUAAUAUGUAUUAAAAUUUUAUUUAAAGUAAAAAUAAAUAAAAUAAAAAAAUUAAUAUUAAUUAAUACCAAUAUUCUCCCUUUUAUUAAUAUCAUCAGAAAAAGAAGAUAUUUCAUCCUGGAAACAAGAGCAGAAU
rnacentral:lncRNA from 1 species